rnacentral:rRNA from 1 species
UACGGAGGGGGCUAGCGUUGUUCGGAAUUACUGGGCGUAAAGCGCACGUAGGCGGUUUUGCAAGUUAGAGGUGAAAGCCCGGGGCUCAACUCCGGAAUUGCCUUUAAAACUGCAUCGCUAGAAUUGUGGAGAGGUAAGUGGAAUUCCGAGUGUAGAGGUGAAAUUCGUAGAUAUGGGGAGGAACACCGGUGGCGAAGGCGGCGACCUGGACAGUAACUGACGCUGAGACGCGAAAGCGUGGGUAGCAAACAGG